GCAGACACAUUCCAGCCAAUCAGCAGCAGACCCUCCCUCCCAGACCCUCCCACCUCCUGGACAGCAUCCAUUUACAUUCAUUGUGAAGCUGCAUUCUUAGUGAGCUGUCCAGGAGGUGGGAGGGUCUGGGAGGGAGGGUCUGCUGCUGAUUGGCUGGAAUGUGUCUG